rnacentral:misc_RNA from 1 species
ACAAUUGGUCAGUGUGGUUCUCAUGGAGUCCCCAGCCGAGAUGGACUGAGUGAAAGUCGAUUGAUGGAUCUCUUGCAUGGUUCUGAAUAUGUUCUCACAUAUGAAGACAAAGAUGGUGACUGGAUGCUUGUUGGUGAUGUUCAUUAUCCUCAGAUGUUCACCGACUCUUGUAGGAGGUUGAGGAUUAUGAAAAGUUCAGAGGCAAUUGGCCUAGCCCCAAGAGCCAUGGAGAAGUGUAAAAGUCGCAACUAGUGAGAUAGUGUUGCUAUCAACAGAUCAAAUCCACUGUCUGGGCAAAUGAUGAUAGAUGCUUAUGGUAUUUGAUUGUUGAAAGCUUUUAAUGGGUCCCAAAAUUGAGUCCUCUGUUUCUUAUUUGCUUAUGUUUCUAGUUAUUGCACUUGGACUUGGUUGUAGUAAGAAAAUCUCGGGUAGGGAGGA